GGUUCUGUGGUGUAAUGGUUAGCGCUUUAGACUCUGAAUCCAAGGAUCUGAGUUCAAAUCUCGACAGAACUU
rnacentral:tRNA from 1 species